UUAAAUUGAAGAGUUUGAUCAUGGCUCAGAUUGAACGCUGGCGGCAGGCCUAACACAUGCAAGUCGAGCGGAAACGAGUUAUUUGAACCUUCGGGGAAUGAUAACGGCGUCGAGCGGCGGACGGGUGAGUAAUGCCUAGGAAAUUGCCCUGAUGUGGGGGAUAACCAUUGGAAACG
rnacentral:rRNA from 1 species